AUUGAACGCUGGCGGCAUGCCUUACACAUGCAAGUCGAACGGUAACAGGUCUUCGGAUGCUGACGAGUGGCGAACGGGUGAGUAAUACAUCGGAACGUGCCCGAUCGUGGGGGAUAACGAAGCGAAAGCUUUGCUAAUACCGCAUAAGAUCUACGGAUGAAAGCAGGGGACCGCAAGGCCUUGCGCGAACGGAGCGGCCGAUGGCAGAUUAGGUAGUUGGUGGGAUAAAAGCUUACCAAGCCGACGAUCUGUAGCUGGUCUGAGAGGACGACCAGCCACACUGGGACUGAGACACGGCCCAGACUCCUACGGGAGGCAGCAGUGGGGAAUUUUGGACAAUGGGCGAAAGCCUGAUCCAGCCAUGCCGCGUGCAGGAUGAAGGCCUUCGGGUUGUAAACUGCUUUUGUACGGAAUGAAAAGACUCUUUCUAAUAAAGAGGGUCCAUGACGGUACCGUAAGAAUGAGCACCGGCUAACUACGUGCCAGCAGCCGCAGUAAGAC
rnacentral:rRNA from 1 species